rnacentral:rRNA from 1 species
AUUGAACGCUGGCGGCAUGCCUAACACAUGCAAGUCGAACGGCAGCACAGCCCGCAAGGGUGGGUGGCGAGUGGCGGACGGGUGAGGAAUACAUCGGGAUCUACCCUGUUGUGGGGGAUAACCCAUCGAAAGGUGGGCUAAUACCGCAUGAGACGGAGACGUGAAAGGGGAGGACCGCAAGGCUUCGCGCGCUUGGAUGAACCGAUGUCCGAUUAGCUAGUUGGUAGGGUAAAGGCCUACCAAGGCGACGAUCGGUAGCUGGUCUGAGAGGACGAUCAGCCACACUGGGACGGAGACACGGCCCAGACUCCUACGGGAGGCAGCAGUGGGGAAUAUUGGACAAUGGGGGCAACCCUGAUCCAGCAAUGCCGCGUGUGUGAAGAAGGCCUUCGGGUUGUAAAGCACUUUUGUCCGGAACGAAAAGCGAGUGGCUAAUAUCCAUUCGUGCUGACGGUACCGGGUGAAUAAGCACCGGCUAACUUCGUGCCAGCAGCCGCAGUAAGAC